CGUGCCUAAUACAUGCAAGUCGAACGGCUUUUCUAUGGAAGCUUGCUUCCACUGAGAAGAUAGUGGCGAACGGGUGAGUAACACGUGGGUAACCUGCCCAUAAGAGGGGGAUAACAUCCGGAAACGGGUGCUAAUACCGCAUAGUUUUCUUGAUCGCAUGAUCGGGAAAGGAAAGACGGCCUUUGUGCUGUCGCUUAUGGAUGGACCCGCGGCGUAUUAGUUAGUUGGUGAGGUAACGGCUCACCAAGACGAUGAUACGUAGCCGACCUGAGAGGGUGAUCGGCCACAUUGGGACUGAGACACGGCCCAAACUCCUACGGGAGGCAGCAGUAGGGAAUCUUCCGCAAUGGACGAAAGUCUGACGGAGCAACGCCGCGUGAGUGAAGAAGGUUUUUUCGGAUCGUAAAACUCUGUUGUCAGAGAAGAACAAGUUGGAGAGUAACUGCUCCAGCCUUGACGGUAUCUGACCAGAAAGCCACGGCUAACUACGUGCCAGCAGCCGC
rnacentral:rRNA from 1 species